rnacentral:lncRNA from 1 species
UUUCGGGCAUAGGAUACUAUAUUUAGUUUUCAUGAUAAAAAUAAAACUGGGAAAAGAUAAUAAAUAGAUGCGAAUACUACUAAACAACUUGCAAGAAACUACGUAGUUCGUUGUCUCUUUCGUGACUCAUGAAUCAUGAUUCCUCUGACAAAUUACUUCAUAUUCUCACUCCUACAAGAAAAAACACUACAAUUUAAGAAUAAAAUUGAAACAAUAGCUAACACAAAGUACCAAACAUCCAUACACAAAAAUAUCAAAGGUAAAAAAACUUAUAAUUUGAUAAGAGAACAUCAACACCACUGUACCCAUGAACUGCAUGUAAGUUUCCCCAUGAAAGGAAAUUGUAUUAUUAAAUACUUUAUUAUUUUAACAAUAAUUACUUAAUCAUCUUUAAAGAAAAUAUAUUACGAAUUACUAAUUUAAAUCUUUUGAUUAGAUUUUAUCAUAGAGAUUAAAAUGAAAAUUGAAGUUAAUGAUAUGAACUAUAGAAGGUGGCUGGUUGUGACGCAGAGAGAUUUGACCAAAGUCUCACAAACAUCUUUUCUACUUUUCUUUUUCCCAGAUACUACCGCCACCCGUGUUUCUCAAUCCCUAUAAAUACUUUCCACAAUUCCCAAUUUCACAAUCCAUUCACAAACACCACUCAACCAUAAUUUUUCUAACCAAAAAGCACAAUGGAAACCACAUCCACACUUACCUAUUUCCUCCGCCAUGUCGCCGCCAAGUUCCCCUCUCGCCGAGCGCUCUCCGUCGCUGCCAAAUUUGACCUCACCCACUCUCGCCUCCAUCAACUGGUGGAAUCCGCCGCC